rfam:Pseudomonas putida S11 PPS11_c34, whole genome shotgun sequence.
CGUAAUGGCGACCGUGCGCGGGCAGACCUUGGUCUGGCCGAGCUUCCUAUGUUCACUCGGUUUCUCACCUCGUGCACGGUUGCCGCCUUU